rnacentral:rRNA from 1 species
AUUGAACGCUGGCGGCAGGCCUAACACAUGCAAGUCGAACGAGUGGCGGACGGGUGAGUAAUGUCUGGGAAACUGCCUGAUGGAUGGGGUUAACUUCUGGAAACGGUAGCUAAUACCGCAUACCAUCAGAUGUGCCCAGAUGGGAUUAGCUUGUUGGUAGGGUAACGGCUCACCAAGGCGACGCUCCCUAGCUGGUCUGAGCGGAUGACAAGCCAGACUGGAACUGAGACACGGUCCAUACGCCUACCGGAGGCAGCAUGAGGGAUUAUUGCACAAUGGGCGAAAGCCUGAUGCAGCCAGUCCGCGUGGAUGAAGAAGGCCUUCGGGUUGUAAAGUACUUUCAGCGGGGAGGCGUUACCCGCAGAAGAAGCACCGGCUAACUCCGUGCCAGCAGCCGCGGUAAUAC